CCUACGGGGGGCAGCAGUGGGGAAUAUUGCACAAUGGGCGCAAGCCUGAUGCAGCGACGCCGCGUGAGCGAUGAAGGCCUUCGGGUCGUAAAGCUCUGUCCUAAGGGAAGAAUAAUGACGGUACCUUAGGAGGAAGCCCCGGCUAACUACGUGCCAGCAGCCGCGGAAAUACGUAGGGGGCGAGCGUUAUCCGGAAUCACUGGGAGUAAAGGGUGGGUAGGCGGCCCUGCAAGUCGGGAGUUGAAUCCCUCGGCACAACCGAGGUCAGCUCUUGAAACUGUAGGGCUUGAGUGCAGGAGAGGAGAGCGGAAUUCCUAGUGUAGCGGUGAAAUGCGUAGAUAUUAGCAGGAACACAAGUGGCGGAGGAGGCGCUCUCGACUGCAACUGACGCUGAGGCACGAAAGAGUGGGGAGCGAACAGGAUUAGAUACCCGGGUAGUC
rnacentral:rRNA from 1 species